rnacentral:rRNA from 1 species
UACGUAGGGUGCAAGCGUUAAUCGGAAUUACUGGGCGUAAAGCGCGCGUAGGCGGCUUUGCAAGUCGGAUGUGAAAUCCCCAGGCUUAACCUGGGAACUGCAUUCGAGACUGCAUUGCUAGAGUAUGGGAGAGGGAAGUGGAAUUUCCGGUGUAGCGGUGAAAUGCGUAGAUAUCGGAAGGAACAUCAGUGGCGAAAGCGACUUCCUGGACCAAUACUGACGCUCAUGUGCGAAAGCGUGGGGAGCAAACAGG